CACGACCUGGGAGAGGAGGGAGGAGCAGGAGCACAAAGCUACAACCUAAAUUCCAGCCUUUCCCAGGGAAAUGUCUCUCAUGGGUCACUGAAAAAUGCCCCAAGAGCAGCAUUGGCAGAGUUUAUCCUUCCAGCAGGAGAUCAGCUGAGCUCUGUUGUGUGUCAGUGAUUAUAAAACCAGUUGAAUUUUCCAAGGUAAAAGGGAGCAAUAUAACAUAAUAACCCCCCCCUCCCCAGUACCUUAACAUUGAAAUUAAGUCUUUUAUCAGCCAUAAAUUUCCACAAAACACUUAUCUCCCCAGUAAUUACUCAAGAACUGACAAGAGGGUAAUGAGAAUUAAGGGACAAAACUGACAUUAUUAUACAGAUAUUUGCCUCCUUUGGGUAACAAAAACCACGCAGUGAAAUAUUCAGAUCUAACGUAGCUGGGCCAUAAGAUUUCCAGAUAAUAUGUUAAAUAUUGUUCCAUGUCAAAACAUGCACAGGCAGAUGGAAAACCCCACUGUUUACUCCUAUUUGUGCUGUAGGUAUUUGCAUAUUUAAUUGCUCAUUUACCCUACUCUGCUGCUUUUUAUUUAUGGAUUGUGCAGGUGGUUGAAAAUUAAGAGUCCACUUCUUACCAGCCCUGCUCAUUCAUCUUCUAGAGGGAUUGACUGAUUAAAUUAAUGAGCAGAUGGCUUUACUUGUAGUUUUUAGUUGGUUUUAGUAUUUAUUUUUUUUUUCUCUCCACGGUUUCCACGUCCUUUCUCUUGCUUUAAUGGAAACUGGUUGAUUUAUUUCUUUAGGUAUUUAUGUUUCCUUAUUAAAGCGCCAUCUUUUCUGGUGGUGUAAACACAGAACCCGGCUCGACAGGAUCCAGGCUGGUGACUGCAACAGUUCUGAAGUGUUUUCCCAGGAAAAUCCUUUUUAUUUUCUUUAUUUUCGGUUCGGUGAAACUUCAGUCCUUGCAGUUCUUAUCUGGACACAGGAGGGCACUCGAAUUCCGUUUCUUGAACUUCAGUUCCGCCACAAAAAUAAAGAAACGUCACUUAAACGAGA